rnacentral:rRNA from 1 species
GACGGGGGAUGCGAGCGUUAUCCGGAAUGAUUGGGCGUAAAGGGUCCGCAGGUGGCCCGGUCAGUCCGCUGUCAAGCCUGGGGCUCAACCCUGGACAGGCGGUGGAAACUACCAAGCUGGAGUACGGUAGGGGCAGAGGGAAUUUCCGGUGGAGCGGUGAAAUGCGUAGAGAUCGGAAAGAACACCAACGGCGAAAGCAACUCUCGCUGGGCCGACACUGACACUGAGAGACGAAAGCUAGGGGAGCGAAUGGG